rnacentral:rRNA from 1 species
CCAAUAGCGUAUAUUAAAGUUGUUGCAGUUAAAAAGCUCGUAGUUGAACUUCGGGGUUUGCUCAUUGGUCAGGCUUAAUUGUCUGUACUGGUGGGAUAAAUCUCUACCUUCUGAGGAACUUUCAUGCCAUUUAUUUGGUGUGAUGGGAAAUCAGUACUGUUACUUUGAAAAAAUUAGAGUGUUUAAAGCAGACUAACGUCUGAAUACAUUAGCAUGGAAUAAUGAAAUAGGACGGACUGAUUCUAUUUCGUUGGUUUCUAGGAUCACCGUAAUGAUUAAUAGGGAUAGUUGGGGGCAUUAGUAUUCAAUUGUCAGAGGUGAAAUUCUUGGAUUUAUUGAAGACUAACUACUGCGAAAGCAUUUGCCAAGGAUGUUUUCAUUAAUCAAGAACGAAAGUUAGGGGAUCGAAGACGAUCAGAUACCGUCGUAGUCUUAACCAUAAACUAUGCCGACUAGGGAUCGGACGAAGUUAAUUUUAUAAUGACGCGUUCGGCACCUUACG